rnacentral:rRNA from 1 species
UACGAAGGGGGCUAGCGUUGCUCGGAAUCACUGGGCGUAAAGGGCGCGUAGGCGGCGUUUUUAAGUCGGGGGUGAAAGCCUGUGGCUCAACCACAGAAUGGCCUUCGAUACUGGGACGCUUGAGUAUGGUAGAGGUUGGUGGAACUGCGAGUGUAGAGGUGAAAUUCGUAGAUAUUCGGAAGAACACCAGUGGCGAAGGCGGCUCACUGGCCCGGUACUGACGCUCAUGUGCGAAAGCGUGGGGAGCAAACAGG